rnacentral:lncRNA from 1 species
AGGGCGUGGCGGUGUCGCCACGUGGGCUGAAGCUGCUGCCCUGCGCGGGGCCGGUCCGUCGGUCCGUGCUCUCGUUCUGAUGGCGGUUUGUCGUUCCGAGCUCAUCUGUGGGUGUUUAACCCGCUGGCUGUGCAGGAGUGAUUUUUCUCAGGACUCGCACCGUGGCGUGGAGCGCCAGCAGCAGAGGGGCUCUGGCGGUCUCUGUCCGUGCCCGCUCUGCAGGCACCUCGUGUCGGUGCGCGCUGUGUCUGCUGGGACGUCGAUCCGCAGGGAGGGGAGCACAAAAAAUCCGCGUCCCGUUAAGCGGGGCAGAGCAGCAGCAGCAGCUGAAGGCUCUGAAGUUCACAGGCUGCUGUCUGCACGUGGAGGUGUUGCGUUGUUUCACCACGUGGCCUCGGUUCUGCAGGUAAAGCGCACAUCUGGCAGGGUUUGUUCAGCUGCGUUACAGACUAUCAAGUGUGAAAGGCUGUGA